rnacentral:rRNA from 1 species
AUUGAACGCUGGCGGCAGGCUUAACACAUGCAAGUCGAACGAGUGGCGGACGGGUGAGUAAUGCUUGGGAAACUGCCUGAUGGAGGGGGAUAACUACGGGAAACUGUAGCUAAUACCGCGUACCAUAGGAUGAGCCAAAAUGGGAUUAGGUAGUAGGUGGGGUAAAGGCUCACCAGGCCUACGAUCCCUAGCUGGUCUGAGAGGAUGACCAGCCACACUGGGACUGAGACACGGCCCAGACUCCUACGGGAGGCAGCAGUGGGGAAUAUUGCGCAAUGGGGGCAAGCCUGACGCAGCCAUGCCGCGUGAAUGAAGAAGGCCUUCGGGUUGUAAAGUACUUUCAGUAGCGAGGCGUUACCUACAGAAGAAGCACCGGCUAACUCCGUGCCAGCAGCCGCGGUAAUUC